GGCUUCUUUUUCCCUGGACGUUAGACUGGUUUUGUGGUGACUGAGAAAUUACGGAUAAUAUAAGUGGGGGAGUAGGUGAUGUUACAUAACACAUUGCACCGUUUUCCCUUUUUAUCUUUCGUAAAUUGUACAAGUGAACAAGAGUAUCCAGUUAUCCUUGCAAUGAAAAAGCAACAAGCUUUGAGUGUGAAGUCUCGUUUAUAACAUGCACUUGCCGCACGUGAAUAAGGAACAGUGGAACCUUAUACAGAGGGUUUCCACAUGCUCUCUUAUCUAUCCUUGCAUUCUCAUUCGUCAGACAUUAUUAACAGUAAUUGAAUAACGUGUGUGCUUUAUCAGAAAAAUCUGUCAAAAGAGUAUUUCCAUAGAUCUGUGUUGGCUACUUAGCCUAUAGGCCUAUGUUCCACAGAAUAUUCAUGAAGCACUUUAUUUUCCUUGAGGUCUGUGGGUUAAUUGUGUUUUCAACCUUUCUAAUAAUGUUAGUAUACCAUAAAACAAAAACAUUUAACUGUCAGUUAUUGCAUUUUCCAUUAAAUUGCGUCUUGUUCUUUCAAACACAGGCCUGCCAUUUUUUUAUGUUCUAGAAUAUAAUCUUAUUCUAGAAUCACCUUCUGUCUAGAGAAUAAUUUGUUAUUAAAUUUGUGAGCACGACAAUAAAGCAUGUUUGUCAUCAAAGCAAAUGCUGAAGGGGCCGGCUUGGUGAAGCGUUGUUGCUAAUGAAGCGAUACCUAUUAUUUUCUGGAUAAGAGCUCCCUCCAUCUCCAUGGCGACGUGGAGAUCUUACAUUCUAAACCAUGGAGUGUGCGCGCAGCUUUCUCGCUUGAAGGGGGAUCGGUUCGAUGGCCGGACAAAGCGAAAGGUAGAGCCCUCUACCUUGCGAAAGAAAAAUAACCGAUAGGAUCUGUUUUGGGGACGAAAGGGGGAACAAUUCUGAGACACAAGUCAUCUUCAUAGGAAAGAAGCCGGGAAUCUUCUAGCUUGGAUGGCAGGAUAGAGGAGGGAACAAAAGGAAGGAGUACAGAAGUUAUCCUAACUAAGAAAUUUCCUGAAAAAUGUCAAUGACCUGACGCAUGUCCUCUACAGCAGUGCUUGGCCACACACUCAGUGGAAAGGAGAGAGCAGCACCACCACUCCUUAAAUCCAUAGUCAAGUUUUGUGUUUUUUUUUCUUUUUUUUUUCUUCUGUUUGAUACUCUGAUCUUCAAUGUGUAUUGAUUCCUACUAGCCAGCUUUGUAAGAGCUAGGUUUGUACUAGUUAUGCUAAUGAUCAUUGCAGUUUUUUCUGCAUCAGGAGAGAAACUGGAUUCCCCAAGAGAGAAAAAAGAUGCCAUCUAGAACCUAAAAGGGUUAAUCAAAAAAAGUGCCAUCUAGAACCUAAAAGGGUUCUCAGCUGUCACCAUGAAGAAAAGGACGGAGGUUUUUACACAUUUUUACUGACCAGAAUAUGAAGUAUUUUUCUGGCCAUGAUACAACCAGUUGGUCAUAAUUGUGACCUCUAUCUGACCAGCUGGUCAUAGUUCCGACCACUAUAUUAUGUGCUAUAUUAUGUACUGGUCAUAGUUAAGACCUCAUCGUAACCUCGUAAUGACCACCUGACUACAGCUUAUAACCUACUGUAAAAAGUAUUGUAGAGGAACAAGUUGGAUAUUGAAAACAUUUUAUUAUAUUUAUAUUUGUUUACAUAGGCACCAAUUAAAGUUGAAAUCUGCAACAUUCUUACAUUUAAAAUAGAUCAAGCAAUGGCAAAAACAAAUCAUAACUCACCCACAGACAUUACAUGCAUAGAAAGACUGGGAAACAGAGGAUAUAAUGGCCCAUUGUAUUAUUUUUUAUUAAUGAUUAAUAAGAGUGGUGUGAUGGGGUAGAUCCUCAUCAAUUCCACCGUCCGCAACCACAGGGCUCUCCAGACAAUGGUGCAGUCAGCCCAAUGCAUGCCUGCCCUCCAGGACAUCUACAGCAUCCGGUGUCACAGAAUGGCCAAGAAGAUUAUCAAGGACCUCAGCUACCUGAGCCAUGGCCUGUUUACCCCACUACCAUCUAGAAGGCGGGAAAUGUAAUUAGCGACAAAACACCAUCCUCAAAAGCGCACCACAUAUGCGAGCGGUUUCAUGUGACAGAUAUGAAUAGAAUGGGGAGAUCUAAAGAUGCAUCAACUGGGUUACUGAUUUGGCAAGGAUUAUGCCUUUGGCUGCUGGACAAUAAAAUAACAUUGAUUUGAAAACCAAUAGUUUCAAUGGCAUAUAAAGUGUUUAUAAAAUAAUUCCCUCAACAUUUCUAUGAUCGUAUUUUGGCUAGGCUAGGCUACUUUAAAACAAGGUAUAAUAUGCUUCAUAAAAUGACAUGAAACAUCCAGGUUUUAAACAAUUAAGAUUAUGGUUAAAUAGUUUCAAAAUGCUAACCGCCUCCGCUCAGAUUCAAGGUAAAAUGAAAUGCUAUUUGUCACAUGCUUCGUAAACAACAGGUGUGGACUAACAGUGAAAUGCUUACUUACAGGCCCUUCCCAACAAUGCAGAGAGAAAGAAAAUAGAUCAAUUAUAGAAAAGUUAAACACCUAAUAAUAAAAGUAAUAAUACAUACACUAUGAAUAUAGAUAACUUGGCUAUAGACAAUGGGUACCAGUACCUUGUCGAUGUGCAAGGGUACGAGGUACUGUAGAUAUGUACAUAUAACUAGGAAUAAAGUCACAGAUAGUAAACAGCAGCAGCACCGUAUGUGAUGAGUCAAAAAAAAGGUAUGCAAAAAGGGGCAAUGCAGAUAGUUAAAUAGUUAACCAAAUAGAUAUCCGGACUAACUAUUUAGCAGUCAUAUUUUUUACAUUUUAGUCAUUUAGCAGACGCUCUUAUGGCUUUGGGGUAGAAGCUGUUCAGGGUCCUGUUGACUUCUGACUUCAGACUUCUGUACUGCUUGCCAUGCAGUAGCAAAGAGAACAGUCUAUGACUUGGGUGGCUGGAGCCUUUGAACAUUUUUAGGGCCUUCCUCUGACACCGCCUGCACCGCCUCCUUAGUGAUGUGGACACUGAUGAACGUGAAGCUCUCGACCCACUAAACUACAGCCCCGUCGAUGUUGCUUUUCUCGAAGCGAGCAUAGAAGGCAUUUAGCUUGUCUGGAAGGCUUGUGUCAUUGGGCAGCUCGCAGCUGGGUUUCCCGUUGUAAUCCAUGAUAGUUUGCAAGUCCUGCCACAUCCGAGGAGCGUCAGGGCUGGUGUAGUAGGAUUCAAUCUUAGUCCUGUAUUGAUGCUUUGGCUGUUUGGUGGUUUGUCGGAGGGCGUAGCGGGAUUUCUUAUAAGCGUCCGGGUUAGUAUCCUGAUCUAGGGUGUAAUCAUUAGUCAAUUUACUGUGUAAGUCUAUGGAAGGGGGUGAGAACCACGAGCCUCCUAGGUUUUGUAUUAAAGUAAAUUUACCCAGAGGAGAACGGAAACUAGCUGUCCUCUGGCACGUAUUAAUGAAGCCGGUGACCGACGUGGUAAUUUCCUCAAUGCCAUUGGGCAUGUCCCGGAUCAUAUUCCAGUCUGUGCUAGCAAAACAGUCGUGUAGCUUAGCAUCUGCUUCAUCGGACCACUUCCGCAUUGAGCUCAUCACUGGUACUUCCUGUUUGAGUAUUUGCUUGGGCCACACUUAUUUUUUACAGAAACAUUUAGCAAAACAGUCUUUAUAAUGUUAUGUCCUCAAUGUGAGCAGUUUAUUUUUGGAUGCAAUAUUCAGACAUUCACAAAAGCAGCAACAGCAAAACACAAUUCUCAUACAAAUCGGAAAAUGUAGGCUACAUUAGUCCUAGCGCUAACUGAGUAAAGAGUGAGCUAACACAAGUGGUCAUGUUUAGCCAACUCUCAGCUGAUAUAAACCAUAAUAUAAUUAUCUAAUAGCAAUUACUAUGUAAAGUUCAUCACAUCACGGGUGAGCACACCAUUGAAUAAAACAUUUUCAAAAAAUUGGAAGUAAUCCCAAUUUGGUGGGUAGAGUUUGUGCGGGCCACCAUCUUUGUUUUUAUGCAUCAACCAAAGAUAAGAAGAGGUGACAAGAUGAGUUGGGACUGUUUACAGUAUGCAUGUUGAAGGCGAAAGGGGUGUGUCAUCUACCAUCAUUCACUUCACAUCAUUCACUUCCGGAAGUUUACUCGGAAGACGAGUGAGCCAUCCCUUCACCUCGUUUUGUUAUUACAUUUUUGGUCUGACACCCAGAAUGCAUUGCAUGAUGUCAACAAACAUGGCUCCACACAUAGCUGGCAAAUAGCUUAGCAUUAGUUCAUCGUAAUCAGCACAACCUUCUAAAAUGUAUUUUACACACAUUAUAUGUGUCCAAUAUAAUCUAUGCAAGAAUCGGAAUGCAUGAUAUGUCACCAGUACUUAAAACAGUAAAUAAACAAUUGAUUACCUCACAAA